UCCUGGGUACAUGGCCUCCCCCAGGGGCCUUGUUCUCUGCCCAGGAACGGCCCCAGGGAGGGCCCUUCCCAGAAGCAGUCCUGGGCAGGGCCCCCUUGAGGAGCAGCCCUGGCAGGUGGGUCCUCGCCUUGUACGCUGCCUGCAGGUGCUGGAUGCUCCACAUGUGGGCACCGGGGAUGGUCCCACUUGAGGCUUUGAGCUCCGGCGAGGCCACCCUCUGUCCAGCCAGGGGGAGGGUGCCUCUGAGAAGGGGGCUGUCAGAGUUGCCUGAGGAGGGGGCUGGGAUGACCCCUAUCAAUCCCAGUCCUGGGGUUCCUUGGCUCUUGUCCCUCCCUGCAAGUGGGGAGGCCAUGAGAAGUUGUGGGGAAAGGCCCCAGAGACCCCAGGGCAGGGAAGGAGGCCUGGGGGCUGUGCUGGGGCCUGGAAGGGGGAGGCCUUGUGCUGCUCCCUGUGGUCUGACGGGCAGGAGGUUAGAGGGAGGGGCAGGCCUGCUUCCAGCAGGGUGGUCAGUGCAGGGCAGUCAGCGCAGGGCGGAGGUCUGUUUUCUCCUUGGUUAUUUCAGGUAAACCGCAUGCCCCGGGCCCCCAGAGUGGGAGAAAAGCCAGUUCAUGGCCCUCUCCCCACCUUCAGCACUGCCCCUCCCCCCAGUCUCCACCCUGGCAGGGCUGUGGGGCCCGGGGCAUCAGCUGAGCCCACUGGGCCCACAGCACCCUCAGGACCUCGCCACCCCUUGGGACCCACAGGGUAGCAUUCCAGGGCUUCUCCUACACAGGGGGCUCCAUUCGCCCGAAGGCCAAGGACUGCAGAGCUCAUCAAUGACGUCUGCCACUGACAGUCUUGGAGCCCUGUCAAGGGGACCUGUCCUGCGCUGGGCUGUCCACAGAGGAGCAGCGUGGAGGAGCUGGGAGUGCCCAGCCUGCCUGUGGGCUGCAUUGCCGCUUCCUGCCCAGGAGCCCUGCAGCCGUCUGUCCGCCUCUGAGUAGGACAGUGGGGUUUCCUGGCCAGGAGCAGAGUUUGUCACAUUCCAGUUAUGUCUGCCCAAUGUUCAGCUUUUGACAUGGGCUGGCGUCCGAGCCCUGGAUCCCCUGCCCUGGCUUGGCUUCCUCUGGAGGGGAGAUAAGGGGCUCCUGACAUCUUGUAGGCUGAAGAACCCGCCCAGCACGCUGACAGGGAGGCGCCAGAGGCAGCCGCAGACCGGCCUCAGCCCCUGCAGCCCCUCCCCUCUUGUUGUUGCAGAAAGAAGCCCUCAGGGCCCAAGGUCGACCCACCCAGCCAGGGGACUGCUCUGUAGCUGUGGCCCACUCCAGCCAACCCGGGAGUGAGGGGCUCCGAAGCGUGCCCAGCACAUAGGGAGGGCUCAUUCCGGGGGGCACCGUCUCCCAGUCAGAGCAGGCUGGAGCUGGGCACAGCCGAGGAAGAGCAAACGUGUUCUGUCCUUGACUCCUUCUCCAAGUUUGUGAUGGCAUCUGCCAUGGGCCAGACAGGGGCACACGAGAGUGAGCGAGUGGACGUGGCUGCCCUCUGGAGCCUUCCAGGGCGCGAUGGCAGGUGUGGAGAGGCACACAGGGAAACCCUGGAGUCUCGCCGAGGUACAAGGCGAUGCAGAAAGGGCCAGGGAGUUCCCAGAGACUGUCAGGGGCUCCCUGGGCGGAGGCAGAGACCCCCACCUGGCCCCUGGCACCUCCAGCACCAUGGGCGCCCUGGCUAGGGAUCCCUUCCUGUCUGAGGUCAGCGCUGCAAACCUGUGGCUGCGGUUACCCCACCAUGUUUUUUAAAAUUGGAACAAUUCAUGUAAAAGCCCAGAUUCAUUUUUUCUUGAAAAAAAUUGACAGCCAACUGUGACCACAGUGGGCUUGUUUCUACGCAUUGGGGGCUCUUCCCUCGGAACAGGCAGUGCUCUCAGUUGCCGUAGACGCCCCCCACUCCCUGUCAUCUCACCCGGUCCCUGCUGGGCCUCUUUGUGGCCCAUCCCCUGGUUCAGAUAUUUCAUUCAAAGACCCACCCCCCCAGGGGGAGGCCAUCCUUCUCAGGAAGGUCGCUUGGCCUGGACUCGGAACUGGACACUCAUUACUGGUCACCCUGUGACUGGAGCAGGACUUUGCCUUUCUGCACCUCGGUUUCUCCAUCCUAAGAGGGGCUAACGCCUGUGUCGUGGGACUGUCCCGAGGCGCUCAGAAGCAGUAGGCUUGCUCAUGCUUAAGCACAGAGCUCACAGCUGGGGGUGGCCCCUGUGCCACAGGUCCCUGUGUGUGCCCAACUCCCGCUGCAGAGGGCAACGCUGUGUGUGCCCAUGUCUGUGCUGUGGAUGCAAUGUGUAAACUGCACAGCCUUUGACGGUGGCUGCCUGGGUUGGAACGCGGGCCUCUAUGUGUGCUCUCCAACGGCCUGUGGCGGAAGGGCAGCCCCUCCCUUGGUGGGGGAAGUUCUCCAUAGCUUUGGUGCUUGGGAGGUUUGGAGAUGGCUUAGAGAGCCAUCGGGAUGUGAGGGGAUACAUUUAUCUCUGUCUUCUUGGGGACAGACCUCGGAGGUCCCUCUUUCACCCUUAAAGGCCUGGAUGAAUGGAAUCCGUGGGGCAGGAUUCUCAAAGCAAGACUGGUGGGGCCUCACAGGCAUUCCUGGAAAAGGGCUGUGGAGUUAAAAACCCAAGCGGGAAAUAAACAGAACUAGGCUUAGGAAGGGUCUCUCUGGGAGGCCUGUCUGCCCUCCAUCUUUCGUGGGCUCAGGAGCACUGCCUGGGGCUGGGAGCGAGAGCUCGGAUACUUUACGUUCUCUGAGGCGCUGACCGUGGCUCUGCGAGGAGGAGUGUUCCUCCGGACAGACAUCUUUCAGCGGCGCUGGACUAAGCCAUGGGACAGGUCUGACUGUGGCUCUGCGCUCCCCGCCGCCCCAUCUGUUGCCCCCUCCCCACUGAGAGCUGGGGGAGGGACGGGAUCUUUGUGAGCUGACUUGGGGUCUCAGAGCCGCGGGGAGGGAGGAGUGGGGCUCUCCCUGCGCGGGUUCCUUUUCUGGGUGAGGCGGAGCCUGUUCACCAGGCAGAUCGGGGGCUCCCCGGCCUCCACAGAUCUCCUGGUGUCUCCCCCCAGGCUGUUCACACUUUCUUUACUUGGGGGGCUGAUAAGUCACGCAGCUGGCAGCAUUUGCACCUGAUUCAAGGAGGUGAACAUUUUCCCUGGAGAUUAGCCUUGAAGUCAGGGCUGGUCCCCACCCGGGGACGAGGAGAGGACAGAAGGCUACAGAGGGCUGCACCGGGGGAGGGUAGAUGGGGCGUUCACCCACCCCUGCUGCCGCAUUUUCCUUUGUUGGUUUUGCCCGAGGUCUGAUAAGCACCCUGCUCCAGCCAGAGGCCUUAUCUGGCCGCCUAAUCCCCUGGCCUUGGCUGGAGAACACCAGGGCUUUGCCCAGUCCGCCCUCCCUACCCCCUCCCUGGCCCCUGCAGGCCGUUGGGGCUGGGGGUGGAGGGAGAGGGAGGUGGAGUGAAUACCCCCUUCCUCUUGCUCUUUCUCUUCCAACAGGGCAAGGGGUGCCGGUGGUUGAAGAGGCCCCUCUGGGCAGGAACCUCUCACCUGGGGCACGGGUGAGUGGGAGCCAUCCUCCACUGCCCACCUCCCAGCUGUGGCCCUGAGCUGCACUGGCCCUGUGGCCACAGACCAGUUGACCAGGAAGCCCUGGGAAUCAGUAGGAAAUGAGUUUGAGACCCGGUCCUUCACCUUAGGAAAUGAGUUUGAGACCCGGUCCUCCACAUUAGGAAAUGAGUUUGAGACCGGGUCCUCCACACAGGCAUCUGUGCACAUACACUCAGGCUCAGCAGGAGUUUGAGACCAGGUCCUCCACACAGGUUUCUGGGCACAUAGACUCAGGCUUGGCAGGAGGCCCUCCUGGUGCAAGUUCCAGCCCUUCCUUCAUUUUGUGUCUGGAGCAAGUGAGCACCCCAUGUGCCCAGAGUUCUCAUCCAAGAAGUGGGUUGAUGAGCCCAGCCUCGCAGGGAGCUGGGAGGUGGGAAGAGCUCACCCUGGUCUGGCUUGUGGUCCUUACAAUGAUGGCAUCAUUGUCAUCAUCAUCAUCAUCAUCCUCCUCCUUGUCAACCACUUAGAGCUCAUGAAGACAGCUCCCUCCAUCAUGCCCUGUUUUAUAGCUGAAACCAAAGAAUUCAAGCUCCAUAAGGAAGAACCUAGAGGCCCCCCACGUCAGCCUGCCCCAGCCUGGAGCUUACCCACCAUGGAAAUGUGUCUGUUGGCCUUACAGAGGAGAAGGCAUUUGGGCAGGGCUUUGAGGUAUGAGUAGGAGUUUGCUGAAUGAAAUGAGAGGAAAGGGUUUUCAGGGCAGAGGGAACAGGUUGGGGUGGUAAGAAGGGUCCUGAGGCCCAUAGAGAGUGACUGCUAUGAGUGAGUGGUUGGAACUGGCGUGACUGAAGAUGGGGAAGGACAUCUGGGGGUCGGGGGUGCCAGAGGAGUUGGGGAUUUAUCUGGAAGAUGGUGGGUGCUAAGGCAAGAAGAACCAAUUCCUUUUUCUUUUUGCCAAAGCAAAGCCCUCCAUAGGAUUUCCUUUUGGACUUUCUUUUUGAAAGAGUAAUGCACACUGACAGUAACCAUUUAGAUAAUACAGUUUCUAAAAGAAAAGCAAUGAUCCUUUGCCUCUCCCACACCCACCUUUUCCCCACAAGCCCCCAGAAGGCUGGGGGUCUGCUCUCCCUCCCUUGACAGCUGCAGGAUGUUUUGUGGUGGGGUGUGAGGGGCUUUGGCCAGUCCCUGGAGAUGGACGUGCUGGUGUGUCCAGUUUCCCCAGCCCACUUAAAUGGGUGCAGUGAGUGGCCUUUAUAAGUUCCCCGAAGGGGGCGUGUGGGGGACAGUUACAGACAUGUCGUUUAACAAAUGCUGCAGAUCCCCUUCCAGAAGUGAAGAACAUCUCAGCCGUGCCCUGGCAGGCCUGGCUCCUCCCCCUCCACACCUGAAGUUUCUGUUUAAAAUGUUUGGCCACUGGAGGGGUGAAGACACUCACCUGUGCCUGAGGCACUUUAUUAUCCUGACUGAGCGCGCCCUGCACCUCUCACUGUCCUGAAGUGGCUCGGCCCUCGGGCUUCAUCUGGGCCUUCUGUACCUGAGCCUGGGCUUGGCCCAGCGUGGCCAGUGGGCUCCGGGCCCCUCCUGCCAGCCUAGCACUUCUGAGACAGAAGCCUGGCGCAGCAGGCAGGCACCUCUGGACUUUGAGCCUGGGCCCUUGACAGCCAGGGAGAGGGCGACCCCCAGCACACACUACCCUAACCUUUAGCAACGUCCCCACUGCAGAUGGGGGUGCUAGCCUUGAAAGUUGGGUGCCCCAAGGGUUGGGGCAGGAGGGCAAGGGGCCGCCCCAGGGAGGUGGUGCAUGACACAGCCUAUAACAGGCAGUGACUCACUGCUCAUCCAGCCAUAAAGUCAGGGUGAUAGGCUCAGUGUCCCAGCCGUGCUCCCUGGAGUCCCUGCCCCAACGUCAUUCCCUUCUCUGCAGCCUGCGCUGGGCAGAGCUCCCUCCCCAGGGGGGCCGCCUGGGCCACUCUGGGACCAUCCACCCAUUCCAGACCCACCCAUUCCAACUCACUUGCUACUGCUGGGGAGACUGAGUGCCAGGGAGGGGGAGCAAGGGUAGAUGGAGAACUAACAGUGUCAGAGUCCACAGGUCAUCUGUCCCCCACUUUACAGUGUGGACUGCGGGAGGGGAUCCCAGUGUGGGCUGCAGAGCUCAGGGCCAGGAUGCUCGGCCUGUCCAGGCUGCGAUCUGGAGGAAGCGGGUACUCUCUGCUUAGCCCAGGGCCUUCCACGCUCCUGGGGGCUGCGGGGACAGAUCCAAGAACAUGGGCCCUGGGGCCAUGGUGUCCGAUUCAACCCACGCUUCCUCCCUGUUGACACCGGGCAACUUGCUGAGCCGCUCCGUGCCUCAGUUUCCUCGUCUGUAAAGUGGGAUUCAUAGUAGCUCCUUCCCGACUGGGCUGUCUGGGGAUUGGUGAGUGAUGCCGUGGGGCAGGAUCAUGAUUUACGGGGUGCCUGUAUGUUCUCCCAGAGACGGGAAGGGCCCUGAGGGGUGACUCCUCACCAGAUAGCGGGGUCUCCCAGGGACUAAGCAGGUGGGAGGGAUGGGCGCUGCCCUACUGUGCAGAGCCUUGGCGGGAUCCCUUGACGCUGUCCCCAGGCUCUGCGGGGCCAGGAAUAGGGCCACUGGGCCUGGGGUCCUUGUAGUUCAAGGGUCACCCUGAACUGCGGGGCUCUAACUAUAGAGACCCUGGGGCAGUGACGCCUGUGCAACCUGCCCGCCUGUCACUCCCUCCCCCAACCCCUCACACUUGCCCUGCCUCCUUGACCUGCCCUGCCCACCCCUCACCCUCACCCUCACGCUGCCCCCUUAUCCCGCCCCUGGCACCUGCCCUGCCCUUCCCCUCCUGUGAUGGUUAAUACUGAGUGUCAACUUGAUUGGACUGAAGGAUGCAAAGUAUCGAUCCUGGGUGUGUCUGUGAGUGUGUUGCCAAAGAAGAUUAACAUUUGAGUCAGUGGCUGGGAAAGGCAGACCCAUCCUUAAUCUGGGUGGGCACCAUCUAAUCAGCUGCCAGCUCUGCUAGAAUAUAAAGCAGGCAGAAAAACGUGAAAAGGCUAGACUGGCCUAGCCUCCCAGCCUACAGCUUUCUCUGUGCUGGAUGCUUCCUGCCCUCGAACAUUGGACUCCAAGUUCUUCAGCUUUGGGGCUCAGACUGGCUCUUCUUGCUCCUCAGCCUGCAGACGGCCUAUUAUGAGACCUUGUGAUCACAUGAGUUAAUACUCCUUAAUAAAGCCGCCUUUAUAUA